CCUACGGGAGGCAGCAGUGAGGAAUAUUGGUCAAUGGGCGCGAGCCUGAACCAGCCAAGUCGCGUGAGGGAAGACGGUCCUAUGGAUUGUAAACCUCUUUUGUCGGGUGGCAAACCACGCCACGCGUUCCUUUCCGAGCGUCCCCUAAGAACAACCAUCUGCUAACUCCGUGCCAGCGGCCGCGGUAAUCCGGAGGAUGCGAUCGUUAUCCGGAUUUAUUGGGUUUAAAUGGUACGCCGGGGGAACAUAAAGUCAGCGGGAAAAUAGCGGGGCUCAACCUCUGCGUGACGUUGAAACUGGUUGUCGGGAGUGAGUGAGAAGUAGGCGGAAGGCGUGGUGUAGCGGUGAAAUGCAUAGAUAACACGCAGAACUCCGAUUGCGAAGGCAGCAUACCGGCGCUCAACUGACGCUGAUGCACGAAAGUGUGGGUAUCGAACAGGAUUAGAUACCCUAGUAGUC
rnacentral:rRNA from 1 species